AAUGAACGCUGGCGGCGUGCUUAACACAUGCAAGUCGAACGCCUCACCAUUUCGGUGGUGAGGAGUGGCAGACGGGUGAGUAACGCGUGGGCAACCUACCUCUCAGUGGGGGAUACUCAGCCGAAAGGCUGGUUAAUACCGCAUAACACGCAUGCGUCAAAGUCGGGGCUCCGGGAAACUGGACCUGAUGCUGGGAGAGGGGCUCGCGUCGGAUUAGCUUGUUGGUGGGGUAAUGGCUCACCAAGGCAUCGAUCCGUAGCCGGCCUGAGAGGGUGAUCGGCCACACUGGAACUGAGACACGGUCCAG
rnacentral:rRNA from 1 species